rnacentral:pre_miRNA from 1 species
GGGUGCCAUUUUGAAAUCGCAUUAUUGUGAAAUAAAACGCCCCGUGUAGCAGCGUUAUUUUGAGAGAAAACCCUUCUCUCGAAAUAACUGUUACUCCUCAUUAAUAUAAGGGUUUGAGAGAAGGGUUUUCUCUCAAAAUAACGCUGCUACACGGGGCGUUUUAUUUCACAAUAAUGCGAUUUCAAAAUGGCACCC